rnacentral:tRNA from 6 species
GCAGAUGUGGUGGAAUUGGUAGACACGCUAUCUUGAGGGGGUAGUGGCGCAAGCCGUGUGGGUUCGAGUCCCACCAUCUGCACCA